rnacentral:rRNA from 1 species
GAUGAACGCUGGCGGCGUGCCUAACACAUGCAAGUCGAGCGAGAAACCUCUUUGAAGAUACUUCGGUUGAUUCUGUGAGGCGGAAAGCGGCGGACGGGUGAGUAACGCGUAGGCAACCUGCCCCAUGCAGAGGGAUAGCCUCGGGAAACCGGGAUUAAAACCUCAUAAUACGGAAGGGAGACAUCUCUUUUUCGUCAAAGAUUUAUCGGCAAGGGAUGGGCCUGCGUCUGAUUAGUUAGUUGGUGAGGUAACGGCUCACCAAGGCGACGAUCAGUAGCCGACCUGAGAGGGUGAUCGGCCACAUUGGAACUGAGACACGGUCCAAACUCCUACGGGAGGCUG